rnacentral:rRNA from 1 species
GACAGAGGGUGCAAACGUUGUUCGGAUUUACUGGGCGUAAAGCGUGUGUAGGCGGCUUGGCAAGUUGGAUGUGAAAGCCCACGGCUCAACCGUGGAAGCGCACCCAAAACUGCUUCGCUCGGGUCUCGGAGAGGAAGGUGGAAUGCUUGGUGUAGAGGUGAAAUUCGUAGAUAUCAAGCAGAACACCUGCGGCGAAGGCGGCCUUCUGGACGAUGACUGACGCUGAGACACGAAAGCGUGGGGAGCAAACAGG